UACGAAGGGGGCUAGCGUUGCUCGGAAUCACUGGGCGUAAAGCGCACGUAGGCGGGUCCUUAAGUCAGGGGUGAAAUCCUGGAGCUCAACUCCAGAACUGCCUUUGAUACUGAGGAUCUCGAGUUCGGGAGAGGUGAGUGGAACUGCGAGUGUAGAGGUGAAAUUCGUAGAUAUUCGCAAGAACACCAGUGGCGAAGGCGGCUCACUGGCCCGGUACUGACGCUGAGGUGCGAAAGCGUGGGGAGCAAACAGG
rnacentral:rRNA from 1 species